AAUGAAACUGAACCAGGAUUUGAACUCAAAUAUCAUCAAUGGAAAAACUCAGACCCAUUUCACAAAACCACCUUGGCUUCCAAGUCAUAUUCUAGAGAUAAACCGAAAAGGUUUAAUAGUAAUCAAGAGAGCAUGCAAAGCUGGAGAAAGCACAAGUCUAGGAGAUACAGGAAAUAAACAGCCCUGCAGUGCUCUGCCUAUAAUGGAAUAGAAGCCACUUCCACCAAGGAGAACACUCAGUAAGCAACAACAAAGAGAGAUAGACUCUGGGUUGGUCCUUCCAAUUCCUCAAGCAUCUCCUAGAGUAUUGAUUAGACUCUACGCAAAUUAUUUUGCUGGGAGCCAGACUGAUAUAAAUGCCAAGCACACUCCUGCUUUAAGACCUCAGGAGUUUAUCUAUCUAAGAUCAUGUCAUCUGCAAAUACAGGUCCUCCAGGCCUAGGCCUCCAGCCGCCCCCUGCCAGAGCUAUUGAGCCAGCAGCAAACUCACCAACUCCCUGGACAGAGCCUUCAGGGGCAACUGAAAGCCUCUCUGCUACUGCCCUUGCCACCCUUGCACUAAUGAAGAGGCAGAAAACCUAAGUGGUUUAUCCACAUCUCCAAUAAGUUGCAGUUGACCCAAGGAAAGGAGGCCAGUCCAUCUCUCAUGGGUCACACACAUCCUACUGCCUAUCAGCAGACCCCUGGCUUGGGACCACAGCACAGACCCUCCAUCCUGGGCUGAUUACACUGAGUAAUUAAUGGCCUGAAUCUCUCUGGGGUGGAGCCCUCAGGAGAUAAGCAAAUGACCCUUGGCCACAACCACUACUAAGGUUCCUUCCUCUGUUGCCUCCAAAUUGGGGAAAGAAUAUAACCACUGUGAUUGCCUCAGAGCUGCACUGGUCAACCUAGGAGUGCUAAGCUGGGAUCUACAGCCAGCACGCAAGGGAAAGAAGAACCCACACUUUCAGAGCACUGAGAGGGAGCACAGCUGCAACUGUGAAGAAACAUAGGAGAACCACAGAAUCAAGCAAGAGUCUACCAACUGAACAAUAAGCCUAAAUACCACCUGCUGGAUUCCGCAGCUUCAACACCAAAAAUACCUCACUAACAUACUCCAUUCUGAAACAAGAGACAGAAGUCAGCUUCAAAUAAAAACCCUGCACAAAGCCUCAGCUCAGUGAAAACAUCCAGAAAAUAAGUCUAUUUACUAUACUUAAUCUACACUGAAGUUAAAGGAACACCCACAUGCAGAGAUGAGAAAGAACCAACAUAAGAACUCCAACAGCUCAAAGGGCUAGAGUGUCAUAUGUCCUCCAAACAACUGCACCAGUUCUCCAAUAAGAGUUCUUAAUUAGGCUAAACUGGCCGAAAUGACAGAAAUAGGUAGGAAGAAAGAUUAUUGAGAUUCAGGAGGAUGACAAAGCUCAGUCCAAGGAAAAUAAGAAUCAUAAUAAAGCAACACAUGAGGUGAGGGAUAAGUUAGUAGAAAAAAGAAUCUAAUGGAUUUCACACAGCUGAAUAACACAAUACAAGAGUUUCACAAUGUGAUCACAAGCAUUAACAGCAGAAUAAACCAAGCUGAGGAAAUAAUCUCAGAACCUGAAGACUGGUUCACUGAAAUAAGACAGUCAGACAAAGAUAAAAAAAAAUAAAAAGGAAGAAACAAAACUUCUGAGAAGUAUGGAAUUAUUUAAAGAAGCCAAAUCUAUGAAUCAUUGGCAUCACUGAAAGGGAGGGAGAGAAAGCAAAAAACUUGGAAGACAUAAUUUAGGGUAACACCCAUGAUAAUGUCCCCAACCUUGCUAGAGAGGCCAACAGUCUAAUUCAGGAAAUACAGAGAACUCCUGCACGAUUCUAUACAAGAAGAUCAUUCUCAAGAAACAUAAUCAUCAUAUUUUCCAAGGUCAAAGUGAAAAAAAAAAGAAUGUUAAAGGCAGCUAGAGAGAAAGGAGACAUCACCUACAAAGGGAACUUCAUCAGGCUAACAGCAGAUAUCUCAGCUGAAACCCUACAAACCAGAAGAUAUUGGGGACCUAUAUUUAACAUUCUUAAAGAAAAAAAUCUUCAACCAAUAAUUUCACUUUAGCCAAACUAAACUUCCUAAGUGAAGGAGAAAGAUCCUUUUCAGAUAAGCAAAUGUUAAGAGAAUCUAUUACCAACAGAUCUGUUUUACAAGAGAUCUUGAAAGGAGCACUAAAUAUAGAAAAAAGGUUGCUACCAGCUAAUACAAAAACACACUUAAACACACAGACCAGUGUCACUAUAAAGCUGCCACACAAACAAACCAACAUCAUAACCAGCAGACAGCAUAAUGACAGGAUCAAAUCCACACAUAUCAAUACUAGUCACUAGUGUCUCUUUUUAGUCAUUCUCUUCCUGCCCACAAGAGGCAACUAAUAUUUUAAAUUUUUUUCCACCACAGAUUUAUUUUGCUUGUUUUCAUAUAAGUGGAAUUACACAACAUGUACUCUUUCAUAAGUCUCAUGCUUAGCAAAAAAGUUUCGAGAUUAAUUCUUGUUGUAUAUAUCAGUAGUUCAUAUUUUUAAAAUUUCUAGUAACAUUUCGUUCUACAGUUUGUCUAUUCUGUUGAUGGACAUAUGGGCCAUUUCUGGUUUUCAGCUAAUAUAAAUAAAACUGGCAUGAACUCUCCUGUAAAGUCUUUUUGUGGACCUGAUGUUUCAUUUAUCUUGGGAAGUAACUAAGAGUUGAACUACUAGGUGAUAAGGUUUAGUUUCAUGAGCAACUGCAGAGAGUUUUUUUUUUUAGAGUAGUUGUAAUAUUUUAUUCUCUUAUGAACAAUGUACGAGAGUUGUGAUUAUGACAAAAGAUUGAGUUACACAGGCUUAUGAAUUUGUCAAAACUCAUUGAAUGGAACAAUUGAGAGAUAUGCAUUACAUCGUAUAUAAAUGUUGCUCAGUAGGAAAAGCAGUAGACAAAUAUUAAACUUUAUUUAGUAAAAUAUGUGCUGACCUGGUUAGUGGGAAAGUGUACUGAAUAUGUGCAACUUAUUUUGAAAUGCAUAAGAUACACACAGUAUGCAUAAAAGGAUAGAUAUAUGCACAAACAACUGAUAACACAACUAGAAGAAAUGUUAAUUGUAGAAUCUAGGUAGUGGGUAUAUGAGUAUUCCUAUACAAUUCCUUCUACUUUUGUACAUGGUUAAAUUUUUUUCAAUAAAAUGCUGGAGAAAACAUAGUGAAAGAUGAAAAAUGUCACAAUUCCUAUUAUCAAGCCUGUGUAACCCUGACAAUGAAAUCUGGCAAUGACACGCACACGUACAUGCACACAAACACACACAAAUGUGCACAUAAUGCAACGAAAGAUCUACAGACCAGUCCUACUUGUGUGAAGAAAGGGUUUUUAAACUUAAAGAAAACACUAGAAACUCUAGAAGAUUUUAUAAAACAAAAAUUAUGACCGAAUAGAUUUUAUCCUUUAAAGGCACCAUUGGUUUAAUUUAUAAAAAUGUAUUAGUGCUCUAUGUCAUGUCUAUGCAUCAAAUAAAAAUGAUAUAAUCAUCUCAAUAGACCUUGAAAUGACCCUGUAAAUUGAGAUCUAUUUCUAAUUGAAACAAAAUGUUUUCAGUGUGUUAGGAAUAUAUCACAAAGAAUAAACAAGAAAAACAGCCACUUCUUACAAAUUAAAAAUAAUGAGGAACACUAAAAGAAAAUUAAUUGGCUUGUAAAUAACUUAGGAAUACAUGAGAAUUAAACCACUGCUCUUAAACAAUGUACCUGCAAUUAUUCAUAUAUAGUUUAAAUCCAGAUUCAGUAGAGCUGGAUGAAGUCUAACACUCUACACUUCUAAUAAACUCCUAAGUGAUUCUAAUGGUCUUGCUCUCUGGGACAUAUUUUGUAUAGUAAAGCACUAUAUGAUAAAGAGGACAUUUUAAAUAAAUUAGAAAGGAAUAAUUAUUCAAAACUUAUUAUUUACAUGUAAUCAAUAGAUACAUAUUGGGAUAUCUAAUUAAGCAGUUAUAAAGAAUAACAUGAAAUUGCCACCUCAUGUGAUAUUUUAAAAUAAUUGUCAAGUAAGGUAAAAUUAAUUUUAAAAUGAGCAAACAUUGUUUCAAUUUCAUAAAUAUGAAUAUCUAUGCAGUUUUGGUAGGGAGG
rnacentral:lncRNA from 10 species